rnacentral:lncRNA from 1 species
AAGACACAAAAAGUAUUUUGUUGCCUUCGGUGUGCUUUGUCAUUUUGAUGGAUACCUCUGCUAUGAAGUCUGGUGUAUACUGUGGGUUCUUACUGUAGAUUGCAGUGGAUGUGGACUGGAGUGGUAGCAUUAGAUUGCAUUCAAGUACAGCAUUCUGGCUCAUAGCCAUUUGCAGCAUACAAAAUUAUGCCAGACAGCAAGGCUGAUUCUGCACAAACUUGAGGAUCCUAUUCCCCAGACUCUUCAUAAGGCUACUGACCAGUUCAUGCUCAGAGCAGCUUUUAAAGACAUCUCUCCUCUUGGCGGUUUCACAGGUCCCAUCAGCUUGUAUUUGUGAAUUAGCGAUUACACAACAAGAUGUGCUAAUGGAAGAUGGGUAAAGAGUGUGGUCC